rnacentral:rRNA from 1 species
GACGAACGCUGGCGGCGUGCUUAACACAUGCAAGUCGAACGCGUGGCGAACGGGUGAGUAAAGCGUAAUAACCUCCCCUUCCGAGGUGGACACCCGUUGGCAACGACUGCUACUACCUCAUACUUAAGGAGGUGAUUGCGUAUGAUUAACUAGUUGGUGGGGUAAAGGCCUACCAAGGCGACGAUCCGUAAAUGGUCUGAGAGGAUGAUCAGCCACACUGGAACUGAGACACGGUCCAGACUCCUACGGGAGGCAGCAGUGGGGAAUAUUGGACAAUGGGCGAAAGCCUGAUCCAGCCAUGCCGCGUGUGUGAAGAAGGUCUUCGGAUUGUAAAGCACUUUAAGUUGGGAGGCGUUACCAACAGAAUAAGCACCGGCUAACUUCGUGCCAGCAGCCGCGGUAAUAC